UACGUAGGGGGCAAGCGUUGUCCGGAAUCAUUGGGCGUAAAGCGCGUGUAGGCGGCUCGGUAAGUCUGCUGUGAAAGUCCAGGGCUCAACCCUGGGAUGCCGGUGGAUACUGUCGAGCUCGAGUCCGGAAGAGGCGAGUGGAAUUCCUGGUGUAGCGGUGAAAUGCGCAGAUAUCAGGAGGAACACCAAUGGCGAAGGCAGCUCGCUGGGAUGUGACUGACGCUGAGACGCGAAAGCGUGGGGAGCAAACAGG
rnacentral:rRNA from 1 species